rnacentral:rRNA from 1 species
AGAGUUUGAUCCUGGCUCAGGACGAACGCUGGCGGCGUGCUUAACACAUGCAAGUCGAACGAGAAUCUAUUGAAGGAGUUUUCGGACAACGGAUAUAGAGGACAGUGGCGGACGGGUGAGUAACGCGUGAGGAACCUGCCUUUCAGAGGGGGACAACAGUUGGAAACGACUGCUAAUACCGCAUGACACAUAGGUGUCGCAUGGCACUUAUGUCAAAGAUUUAUCGCUGAAAGAUGGCCUCGCGUCUGAUUAGCUAGUUGGUGAGGUAACGGCCCACCAAGGCGACGAUCAGUAGCCGGACUGAGAGGUUGAACGGCCACAUUGGGACUGAGAUACGGCCCAGACUCCUACGGGAGGCAGCAGUGGGGAAUAUUGGGCAAUGGGCGCAAGCCUGACCCAGCAACGCCGCGUGAAGGAAGAAGGCUUUCGGGUUGUAAACUUCUUUUGUCAGGGACGAGUAGAAGACGGUACCUGACGAAUAAGCCACGGCUAACUACGUGCCAGCAGCCGCGGU